ensembl:lncRNA
UUGAGACCUAACACUUGUAUGCUAACAAAAGAAAACCAAUGCCGAACCUUUCCAAUAAACGAUUGAAUAGCCUUUCUUUACUCCAACAGCCCUACAAAAGCCACUAGCAUUUCCUAACAAUAAAGAAAGCACCAAAGCACAUUAAAUCCAUUACAACCUGGACUUCGAGAUCUGGUAUUAUAGGCUAGAAGUUCAGCCAAUCUUUAUAACAGUUUCUCUAACAGACCUAACAUAAAGAUGCUUUCACAUAGUCCUAGCUCCUGUUGCUAUUAAGACACCUGGGGGGCUUCACUGUGAGCCUGAAACAAAUUGAGACAAAAUAAGCUCCUACAUCUCUGCCUUAGUACAGAGUUCCACAGAUAUUCACAGGGAGGGAAGCUGCUUUGCUCUUUGACACUAUCCCAGUCCUUGAGAUAUCUGAAUGGAAAGUGGAAGAGUCUAUCACUAGGUAACAAUCCAGCAACAAAGAGCUGAGCUGCAGCCUGAUCUGUCUCAUCCACCCAUGGAAGGGAAGAUCCAGCCACAUCCCAGUAGCAGUUUUCAUUCCCUUUUCUGAGAUUGCUUCCAAGAUUACUGGUGAAAACAGCAAUAGCGCCCAAGGAGGUGACAGCUUCUGACUUUUACUACUCCUCACUCCAUGAGCUACUUACUCACCAAGAUAUUUCUGCCCUCCUUCCCUCAGGACAAUGUCGGCUGUGAGGCUUCAGGAAGCAGAGCAGACAGCUGAAUCAGUCCAAGCCUGUGUUGGCAGCCCAGAGAAAACUAAGCAGAGGCUUCAGACAGAAGCGGAGAACCUCACUCAACCUGGAAAAGCCAAGAAAGCCAGCCAUUCAAGAAUGCAUCCAGCACAAGCCUGAUGAGCAAGAUCUGGUGCUGGAGUCUUUCUGUUAACUCACGGAUCCCUUAUUUCCCAGUAUUUUAAGAUCUCUCUAUCAAAUGUCACAGUAAUCUGUAUGGCCAUGAGAAGCAAGGCUAAGAUUUAUCACCUCAUGAAUAAACCUAGACGAGAGCCGCAGCAAAUUCCUAGGAGCACUCAGCAUGCUUCUUGUAAACUCAUUAACUGUCUUCCAGAAACAAGAGUGCAGCUGAAGCAAAAGCCCUCCCUAACUGCAAGGCAAGGCCAACGCCGCUUGUGCUGCUGAGGACAAGAAGCAGAGAGCCUUUGAUAAGAUGCUGGCAGAAUGGCAACAAAAAAUAUGAAGAGCUGCAGGUGGAAGUGAAUAUUUCACAGAAGGAAUGUACAUUGACUGGAAAUUCUGAGCUUAAGAGUGUCUGUGAAAAACCCUUGGAGCAUCUGGAAUCUGUGAAGAAAGAACAUGGCCCUUCAUGGUAAGUACUGGCUUGACAUUAAAAACCUUUGUAAAUCAUUGGCCAUUUGAUUCCUACUUAGCUAUUCCUUAACCUCCUGUGGUAUCUUCUAGCACCAAUUCCAGUUUUCUUAUUUCUAGCAGUGCUUUCAUGCUCUGGGAACAUACAUUAGAAGCGCUGAAGUCACAGGUUAGAUUCUGCUCUUGGGACUGGGUCUGCAUUCACCCCGACACCCAGUUCACCCAAGAUACUAACAGUUGCCUGUGUACUGCCUCCAGGAACUGACUCUUGGGAUAACAUUUGGAAAGAUCCUUUCUGAACCCCCAAAGCACGAUCACGAUAGCAGCUUGAUUGUACUCACUCUUAUACUAGGAGGUCAUCACUCUCAUCACUCCAAGCUGGGCCAUGUAUCAUCACUAGAGCGCUACGUAAGGUGAUAAUAAACAGGUUACAUCGUUAGACUUAAAUCCGAAA